rnacentral:lncRNA from 1 species
AGAGAACUUAUUUUCAGUAUUAUUACAUCUAAAUAGCCUUACAUAACAAAAAGAACACAAUCGAUGCACAAAAUGAUACAUUAGCUUGACAACCAAAGAAGGAGACAAGGAUGACGUUGCACAGCAACCAAUGAAAGGUUUAAUGUGAAAGUUGUGAGUCCACAUACAAUUUGGACAAGAAAAGAGGAAGCGCUACUAUAAACAGAAAACAGCGCCGAACAUGUGUUGCAUCUUUGUAAAGAACUUAAUCGGAUGAUGGCGAUGCCCCGAGAAGUGCGCGGAAGGUGGCGACUCUGCCCUCUGCUUCUUCCUCCUCAGCUGGAAGAACUGUUGCAUUAUCUCUGAGCACUCCGUGGACAGGAUACUGCACCUUACGGUUAUCUUCAGAUGGAAAGAGUGGACAGGCCCGACAGUUUGCUUCUGAUUCGAUGGGUCCAAUAUGCUUGUUUGCACCUCUACAAGGAAAAGCCUAUAAUACAAGUGCAACAAUCUCUCAAGUUUUCAUGUCAAUGAAUGGAAUGUAUAGAAUUGACAACACAUAUAUUGGUAUGGAAUCCACUGGCCAUUAUUCAAAGCAGUCCACUUGUACAUGACUUGACUCUCAGAACUAUUUGUAGGUGAUUUAAUCUCAUGUAUCAACUGGAAUGCCUAAGUAAAGUCCCCAUCUAAAAUUUUCGGAUCUGUAAAUCUGAUUUGUGUCUGAGAGGGAUACUAGAAUGGAAUGCAAAGUUAAAUAUGUGUUAGCUAACGAAAAGCAACACAUCUAAUAGGUUCUUUACUUGCUUGGACAAGUGGGGAAUAAUUGUUUUUACUACCAUUUUAAAUAUAAUAUUAAGCUAUUUAGGAGUGAGUUUACCAAGGAGCUAGGCUUGGGAAGUUGAUUAUUAGUCACGAAUUCAUGUUUGAUGUGUGGUGGGAAUUUGAGAGAAAGUUUCAUCCCGUGUGAAUUAACACCGGACUAAGGAAGAGAUAUGUGGGAAUUAGCCUCUUAAUUUACAUUUUUUUUCCUUUCCUGCGUAAUUUCCUUGUCCCCAACCAAAAUACCUUCCAAAAUCUCAUCCCCUGCCACUACUUCCCCCUUAACAAACAAGUUAUAAGCUUUGGGGUGGCAUUAGAGUUGCUCUUAGGUGUAGGGGUUGUUCAGUUCAGCCUGAGUUGGAGACAGGACAGAUAUGGGAACAAGUGGAAUAGGAUGAGCGGAUGCACUAUUGACCUUGGCAUUGGUGGUGCGUUUAUUACAUAUUUAUUUUUAUUUACAUAUUUUGUGUGAACUAAUUCAUGGAUUUAAUGUAUGAAUCCAGAGCCUCGGUCCACCCAUCUAGAAAAGAGAGGGCAAUUACUAAUUAGCAUAAUUCUAGACAGGACAAUGUAUUGCAUUGUUUUGUACGUUCUGAGUACACACGGUUGGUAUGGUAGGAAUCUUCACUGGCUUGCCUUGUGCCAGGGUGAUAUAAGGAGUCGUCGGGACCAUGUUCCAGCUGAGUUGCACAUUAGUAGAUUGGUAGUACAAUCUUUUGGAACUAUGCAUAAAACUGCGAGAAGAGAAGCUAGCCUCUGAUCCGAGACUGUUGUUGUUCUAGGUGAAUAGUGAUAAUGAUGUCAAGUCAUACUGUCUAGCGGAUUCAUAAGUUUGAGAGGCAUCGGGAUAACGUACUCUCCCAUACAUCACUCUGUACCUCAUCAUUUUCUUUUAGAAUGAAGGCUUAAGGAGGGCCCGGCUUUGAAUUAACAAAGCCUCAACCAGCUAGGAUUAUAAUGUAAAAUUACCCGUGCUUCAUCAUUAGUGUCUGCCUCUAGCAGGAGGAACGGGAACCAUGUGCCCACCACCUCAUCAUUUUCUUUUAGAAUAAAGGCGCAAGAAGGGUCCGACUUUGAAUUAAUAAAGCCAUCAACCAGCUAAGAUUACAAUGCAAAAUUACAUGUGUGUCAUCAUUAGUGUCUGCCUCUAGCGAGAACGGAAACCAUGUGCCCACCAAUAAUUUGGUGUGGCUUCAAUGCUGGACUGGCCUGAGAAUUAUGCUUGUUGUCAUACUUCUCGUUGAGCUCUAAACAUGACUGGUGUUUCUAGGAACACGUAGACGCCAUCUCCACAUCGGUGCGCAGCUAUGCAUCCAUCUCCACGCCGAUGCAACUCUGCAUCUACAAAAGUGAUUAUAAAACCAAAAAACCAAUUCGGUGCCUAGGCUCGUCUGCACCCGGUCAGAAAAAAAAUCAAAACAAAUACUAAAAAAUGCAAAAAAAAAUCCAAUAUUUUUGUGUGAUAGAUAAUUAUAUGUGUGAGGUUCGUUCCAAAUUUCAACUUAUUUGGACAUUUGAGCAGCUCUCGGCAAAAAAAAACAAAUUGGGUCAGAACAAUGUGUGAACAGUAAACUUUUUUACAGACCCUGAAUUUGUCUUUUUUGCUGAGAGUUGCUCAGAGGUCCAAAUGAGUUGAAACUUGAAGCGCACCUCACGCAUAAACUUAUCUACCAUACAAAAAAAAUUGGAAUUUUUUGAAUUUGUUUUGAUUUUUUUCGUUAGGGAGGAUGCAGAUGAGCUCGGGAGCAAAAACGCCGCACUCUGCACUGUUUUUUACACAUCCAUAUCGAACUGUCUCAAUGAUAACCUUGUGCUCUCUUUUUUACCCUUUUGCCACUAGUACAAAUGAAAUGGACGAGUUCUAAGUUCUCUUCUCCCCAACACAAGGAAAUUAUUUGCAGGCUCUGUAGACAUAAACCUGCCAGAGAACUUAUUUUCAGUAUUAUUACAUCUAAAUAGCCUUUGCAUGACAAAGAAAAAACACAACCGAUACACAAAAUGACACAUUAGCUUGGCAUCCAAAGAAGGAAACAAGGAUGACGUUGCACAGAAGCCCUGAAAGGUUGAAUGCGAAAGCUGCCGAGUCUACAACUACAUACAAUUGGGACAAGAAAAGAAGUACUACUAUAAACAGAAAACAGUGCCAAACAUGUGUUGCAUCUUGGUGAAAAACUUGAUCGGAUGGUGACGAUGCCCCGAGUAGUGCGCGCGAGGUGGCGACUCUG